rnacentral:rRNA from 1 species
AUUGAACGCUGGCGGCAUGCCUUACACAUGCAAGUCGAACGGCAGCGGACCUUCGGGUGCCGGCGAGUGGCGAACGGGUGAGUAAUGCAUCGGAACGUACCUUUCAGUGGGGGAUAACGUAGCGAAAGUUACGCUAAUACCGCAUAUUCUGUGAGCAGGAAAGCAGGGGAUCGCAAGACCUUGCGCUGAUUGAGCGGCCGAUGUCAGAUUAGCUAGUUGGUGAGGUAAAGGCUCACUAAGGCGACGAUCUGUAGCGGGUCUGAGAGGAUGAUCCGCCACACUGGGACUGAGACACGGCCCAGACUCCUACGGGAGGCAGCAGUGGGGAAUUUUGGACAAUGGGGGCAACCCUGAUCCAGCCAUGCCGCGUGAGUGAAGAAGGCCUUCGGGUUGUAAAGCUCUUUCGGCCGGGAAGAAAUCGCACGGGCUAAUACCCUGUGUGGAUGACGGUACCGGAAUAAGAAGCACCGGCUAACUACGUGCCAGCCGCCGCGGUAAAAC